UCCGUCUGUGUGGCUGCCUCUCUCGGUCUCUCUCUCUGUGUCUCUUGAGGUCCUCGUAUUGAUCCAAAUAUUUUGAACAUUUAUCCUCUGAGAUUGUUUCUUUAUUGCAUAGUUGGUCCUGUUUGUGUAAGAGACAGGCAGGGAGCUUGAGCGGGAGAGGGAGCCCCAGCUCCUCAAGCCCACGGGGCCCCAGCGCAGGGCCUGCCGGGGCGGGAUCCCAGGUCUCCUGGCGGCUCCCUGCAGGCUGCACGUCCCCUCUGUCCCACCUCAGGGUGCAGGGGCCGCGGCCGGGAAGGGGCAUCAGAUCGUCCUGACCAAGCUCACCCGGACGGAGCUGCUGGAGUACAAAGUCCGACAACUGCUGCUCGCCUUGCAGCGCAGGGACGUCAUCUACAUCUUCAGCUUUUUAGAGGAUUAUCGUACAUUCGCCACCACGGACGAGGUGCUGGACCUGCUGUUCACCGAGUAUGGGUGCAUCGCAGAUGCGUGGGGUAACAACGAUGUGGUCCUGCAGUGCUGGAAACUGGCCAUCUCCUUCAUGAUGGAAAUAUGGCUGAAUUAUUAUGGGGACGACUUUCAUCAGUUCCCAGAAUUUCCCUCCCUUAUAAAACUCCAAAUACUAAGA